UUGUGUUCUUCUCAUCAUCCUCACAAAACGAAACCCACCCAAAUUCAACGAUGUCACUUGAUCCGACCACCUUUGAAACCAUAGUCCCUUCCCGCUACAUAACCUUCACAUUCCCUAAGCCUCUUUCCAGCCACCACCUCCGCGUCUCCGUUCUCGACUCUCCAUCUUCAUCCGCCGCCAGAAUCGCCGCCAUGUGGGUACCACCCGGUCGCGAAUCCGACUGGAUUUUCUCCACUUUCUCCGGCCAUCUCCAGCUUCUCCUCUCCUCCACCACAGCCCACCACCUCUCCCGCUUAAUCCUCAUUGGAAAUCCUCCUGUGCACUCCCACCCCAUCUCGUAUUUUUCCACGCCCUACCCCUCAUCCAAUCAGUCAAAGGAAACCGAAGAAAAAUUACGCCCUUUAUUGCUAGCUCUAACUCCCAAAUCAGCUUUCUAUCAAAAGGGUAUUUGUAAUAAUGAAUUCCCUGAAAUUCCUUUCUUGAUUUAUGAAGACGAGGUGACUGGAUGCGCAAUUUUGGAAAUAUGUGAAGGGCCUUGUGCUGGUGAAAUGCUAAUAGAAAAUGUUGUGGUGGAAACUAAUUCCACGAAAGAGUUUAGGAGGAGAUUGAGGUUUAAGAGAAUGCCAAAUUUAGUGCAAACCCAGAUGAGAAUUCUUCCGAAAAAUGAAUUGAAUUCUAGAGAAUUAGAUAACUUGGAGUUUGUAAUAGAUAAUAAUGUUCUGGUUCAUCCAUAUUUGAGUCCCAUGGUAGGGGGCCUUUCGGUAAUUGCACCUCAUCUGGAAAGUCGAAUCAAGGGUGGGAUUAGGCCGAAAGCUUUGUGUCUGGGGAUCGGUGGUGGUGCAUUGCUUGGAUUUUUGAGUUCCCAAUUGAAUUUUGAUGUCACCGGAGUGGAGAAUGAUGAAGUUGUACUGCAAGUAGCGAAAAAGUAUUUUGGAUUAGAAAGCAAUGAAUUGAUUCACUUAAUCGUUGGAGAUGGGAUAGAACUUGUUGAAAAGCUUGCGAAGAAUAUAACUGCUGAUUGUAAGUUUGAUAUGAUCAUGGUUGAUUUGGAUUCGAGUGAUGCAACACUGGGCGUUUCCGCCCCACCUUUGGGGUUUGUUACGAAGUCAGUUCUUCUGGCUGCAAGAGAGGUUCUUUGCGAGCUUGGUGUUCUUAUCAUUAAUGUGAUUCCUUCAAGUAAGUUGUUUUUCAAGAGGUUAAUUAGUGAGUUUGAUGAAGUUUUUGAGGAGUUAUAUGAGAUUGAUGUUGGGAAUGGGGAGAAUUUCGUUCUUAUAGCCACACUGUCAAAAAUUGAAAAUGAUUUGAACGCGUGUGAAUAUUCACUUUUGAAUAAGUUGAAAUCUGUUUCAGGAUCAUAUAUAAGUACCAUACAGAAAAUCUCAAGGAGUGCUGAACAAGAAUUUUGCAAAUAGCCUUUUGGAAGCUAUGUGGCAACUUGAAUGGCAUACAUUGUUCCUUUAUAGUGAUCUACAAUGAAAUGAGGAAGUUUAGGUUAUAAAAAUCAGGAGUUGCAGGGCUAAAAGAGUCGUAAAGCUGAGAAAGAAACUAACUUUUCAAUGCUUUGUGAAAAACCACUGGAAUUAAUUUGGGUUCUGUUGGUGAUAUUAUAAGUGUUUCUGAAGAAUUAAAUUUGCAGUGGGCAGUUGCUGGUGUUGGUUUGUAAAAGUCGAAGGCUAAUUGGUUGGUGGCAAUAAUUUAUUCCCUAGAGUUAAAGGCACUUCUCUCUUGUCAAGCUCUUUGAAUUUACUCAAAUGUUCUAAAUUCUGGGAAGCCAUGGUGUCGUGGGGAAAAAAAUAAUAUCAUACAGUUGCCAAAUGAUUUAGAGUACAGAUAAUAUGGUCAUCUGAAGUUAUAUUACUUUUAUCCCAGCUACCAACAUCAUAAAAAGGUCUAUAGAAAAUUGAAGGACAAGUUUAAAUGGUGCUCUUGAUUAUUUAUUGAUGCUUAUAACCAAACAAAAGGACGCCUCACCAAAUUCAGAGACUUCUACACUAAGGAACAAUGGAAACAUGAGAUAAUUGUCACUCUUCAGCUGACAUUUGCAUGGAAAUCGAUGGAUGAGAAGUGUUAAAUCAUGAUUUGCAGUUUCAUGAUAUUUCAAGAAAUCAGCUUUAAAUAUAUUCUCCCUUCCAAUUUUAUUUGUCCAGAUGGCAUAGUGAAUUUCAUGUUCAUAUUUAGGCAUGCUACAUAAAAUUUUAUGCAGGAAAUGCCAUGUUCCAUUUUUCCAAUUUUUAGAUAUUUUGAAUUAAGGUGACACGUAUUCUUUUCUUUCUUGUUGCCCAUUUGUUAUCAGAGGAUACCUUUUCGGCUUGACGGACACAUGAUUUCUCUAUUGUUAAAAAGUUCAUAACAUCAUAAAAUAUACUAUUUUAACUUUUCAGUGUGAAGCCUUGUUUCUAAUCUUAAGUUAUCUGUAUUUAAAUUUAAUUUGAGGUAGAUUUUCAUGGUCACUAUAUAGCUUGAUCCUAGUAUUGGAUUUUUCUCUUCAGUACAAUUUCAUGUUGGGUUAUAAUGAUAGUAUUUCACGGGCUGAUUGAGGACGGUUAUCACUAUGAUACUGUAAACACUUGUUUCUUAAUAAAACCAUAUAACAACUCGUUCUGUACACGUAGCCAUGUUGAAGAAUUUAUACGGCCAAAAUCAAUUUUUUGUGAAAAAAAUUUGGUUUUGAUCACUAGUUCUAAUCUGCACCAUUGUAUGUU